CCCAGCGUUAUGCUGAUCAUUACAAGCCCAGGCAGAGCACGAGGCAGUGCUCCCCACCACCUGGCCCUCUUGUCACACAGCAGCCCCCCAAGCAACACAGGGCCGACCCUUUCCAAGUGAUCCUCAUCAGCCUUAUGGACACAAUUUGGGGAGUUACCCCCAGCAUCCCACCAGGGCCAGGAGCAGAAUGGAGCUCUGUCACACUGCUGGCAUUUCUGCUCCCCGAUGUGCCCAGACACAUUUCCAUAGGGAAACACCAAACACUUGGCUCCUCUACUUCGUAUUUCUAUUUUCCUUUGAAUGCUGUGUGGCUGCCUUGGUGUUUAAUCCCAGUAAUUAACGGGGUGGCAAGAAAAGAGCAGUUCCAUCUCCUUUUCCCCUAUACAAACACAACCGGAGGCGCUGGGCUGGGUCGUUCCUGGAGCAUUUCAAGCAGAGAAGGAAGAAAGAGCAGCAGACAGAGGCAUCACCUAUCGGCAAGCAGGAGGCGGCUCUAAAGAAGAUCAUUUUUAUAUCAGAAACGAGUGAGAGAAGCCGAAUUAUAUCCAUUUCCCAACGUUUGGGGAAAAAUAAGAGGGAAAUCUUUUGUUUCUUAGAAAUGACUUUGAAAACAACCUGCCGGUUACCACCCGGAAUACAGAGGAAGCCCUUAGCACGGGAUGUCACUGCACGUUUAUUUAAAGCUUUAAUGAUAUGUUUGGGGACAUCAUCUACGCCUGGAUAUUCCUCCACUGUGACCGUCUGGGGGAAGGAGUUCAGUCUGAAAAUAGUAAAUGAGGCCAAUUAUCCGGCGGCAAUUCCAAAGGGUGAUUUGGUUCCUCUUGAGCUGUCCGUGUCCUAUCCAAGCAUCUCCGCAGUGCCUGGAUGCACCCACAGCUGCCUGGGAAAGCACAGACACACUCAAUAGCGAGGAGAACCCUGAUGUGCUCAGAGCUGGAGGUCACUAAAGCUUCGGGAAGGACCACGGUGUUUCAAUUUGGUACAGAUCGAUGGGAUGGCUUUAUUUAUUUAUUUUUAAUUAGCCCCAUUAUCAACAGAACGAUCUUCCCGCAGCGCGUGCAAAUAGCAGCUGGCAUCUCAGCCUGGCUGAUGGCUUUUCUCCUCAUGCCGUUGUUCAGAGCUGGCAUUGCAAACCAGGAAAGAUUUAAUAGUGGUUUCUGGGAGAGAUUAGCAGCGUGCAGCGGCUCAGAGGGGAUUACGAAUGCAGCAGCAUCAGCCAGUUUUGAUGGAGUGGUUGUCAAAGUUGUGCUUUAAGUUUAAAGGGAGGCAAUGAGGGCUUUCGGAGGGCUCGCAUCCACGGAGCUGUGUUUGCUGGUGACUCAUUCUGGCUCGCUGGAGCGCAGAUUUGGUUCACUUCAGCUGGAUAACCUCGUCUUUAAAAGAGAAAAAAGUAAAUAAAAAUGCAAAAUCCUAUUGUUAGCCACAGACCAUUGCUUAUUGGUGGGAUUACUGGGAAAGCACCAAACCGUCCGGUCCGGGAAGGGCUGAGGACGGCGGCUCUGCUUGCCCAGCAGUACAGCACCACUGGGAACGAACCCCCCUGCAACGAUUGCCCCAGUUUUGCCCCCAAAUACAAAACAUUUGGCAUUAUGACAGCGACCCCCCCAUACCCAAAACCCAAACUCUUCAGAUGUCAGAAGACGGAGCAGAGUCAUUUUGCAGACGCAAUUUGAAGCGACAAUAUGAACCAGUGCCCAUCCUCCGACGACCAGGAGGAACGCAGGGGAACGGCGUCAGCAGUUGCAUGGGGACAGCGUGACUUUCGGAGGGACCGGGACGGGCGGGGGCAGAGCACCGGGACCCUCCUUCAUCCCAGGCUCCCCUUUCCCAACGGGACCCCCGUCCUCCCCGAGCCCCCGCGCUCCCCUCCCUCUCCACGCCCCG
rnacentral:lncRNA from 1 species